AGAGAGCGAAGAGUCAGAGAGCGAGAGAGAGCGAGAGAGAGCAAGAAGUCAGAGAGCGAAGAGUCAGAGAGCGAGAGAGAGCGAAGAGUCAGAGAGCGAGAGAGAGCGAGAGCGAGAAGAGCGAGAGCGAGAAGAGCGAGAGCGAGAAGAGCGAGAGAGAGCGAGCGAGAAGAGCGAGAGAGAGCGAGCGAGCGAGAAGAGUCAGAGAGAGCGAGCGAGCGAGAAGAAGCGAGCGAGAAGAGUCAGAGAGAGCGAGCGAGCGAGAAGAGUCAGAGAGAGCGAGCGAGAAGUCAGAGCGAGCGAGAAGAGUCAAAGCGAGCGAGAAGAGUCAGAGCGAGCGAGAAGAGUCAGAGCGAGCGAGCGAGAAGAGUCAGAGCGAGCGAGCGAGAAGAGUCAGAGCGAGCGAGCGAGAAGAGUCAGAGCGAGCGAGCAGAGUCAGAGAGAGCGAGCGAGCAGAGUCAGAGAGAGCGAGCGAGAGAGAAGAGUCAGAGAGAGCGAGCGAGAGAGAAGAGUCAGAGAGAGCGAGCGAGAGAGAAGAGUCAGAGAGAGCGAGCGAGAGAGAAGAGUCAGAGAGAGCGAGCGAGAGAGAAGAGUCAGAGAGAGCGAGCGAGAGAGCGAGCGAGAAGAGUCAGAGUGAGCGAGCGAGAGAGAAUAGUCAGAGAGAGAGAGCGAGCGAGAAGAGUCAGAGUGAGCGAGCGAGAGAGAAGAGUCAGAGAGAGCGAGCGAGCGAGAGAGAAGAGUCAGA
rnacentral:lncRNA from 1 species